AGAACAACGUGGAUCGGGAGUAGUAGACAGUAUGACCUUUCAGAGAGCGGGAUUGUAACGCUGGGAAAUUCCGUAGGAACCAACUGAUCGAAGUCGCCCGGGAGUUGCCUGUUUGAAUACAAGGGAUGAGUCAUUCAUACCUGAGGUAGGAUGGGCCGGUCGCAGCCGUUAUCUGCUUGAAGUGUCACGUAAGUGUAGGAGGGGAAGUCUGUCUUUCUAUCUGCGUGAAACAAAGGUGGUACCGCGAAAGCUAACCUUUCGUCCUUUGA
rnacentral:ncRNA from 1 species